CUAGAGAUGCAUGAAUAAAAGAACCACCCAAAGACUCCUACUCAGAUACUUUUAGGCGAGGUCGAUCUCGUCGUCAAUCCUGCAGGAUAGAGCAACAAAAUCAAUGCAAAACAUAUAUAAGCAAAGACUGACUACAACACAACCAAACAAUCCAAAAAUAUGUGACGAACAAUAACAUAUAAAUCUGAAUCAUAAUAAUUUGACGAAAUAAACAGUAAGAUCUUUGUACCAAUAAAGAAAUGUAAACACUUAUCAUGAAGAGAAAGGGAUUUUGUAUUUACAGUUUUGUUCCGUUAGAUGUCUGGUGAUAACAGUCAUUUCCCCAUAUCCCAAUAUAAACCCUUCUCUCGUCGCACUCACAGAAUUUAAAACAAAUAGAAUCCCUAAUAUCUUCUUCCACCAAACAAAGCACCGAUCAAAUGAAAUACCAAAAAUUGACAAUCAAAAAUGGACAAAAAAAUCAAAACCCACCAACAUAUCUAGAAAUCAAAAGCAGCCCAAAAAAUUUAUAAUUUGUUCAUUGAACAAUGAAAUCAAAAAGAAAAAAGUAUGCGUGAAGAUAGAUCGGAAUGAAGAUGAACAGAGUUUUGAAGACCCCCACCUUGUAUUAUUGAGAGAAAGCUUAAUGAGAGAUAAAAAUUAAUUGGGUGAAAAUGAAGACUCACGUAAUGUAUCAUGAUAGAGAAAGGUUUACAAAGAGAAUGGAAUUGAGAAUAGAGGCUUCCCCCUUACAUCUGCUUCUGACUUCAACCUCUUUGUUGAACCUUUUGGCUUUCUUGAAUUGCCCUAUGUUGGUGGCACCGCCACUCGGACAAACGUUGUUGGUCGAGUUUUUACUGCAAAUGAGUCCCCUCCUGAACAGAAAUUUCGAGGUUCAAUUAGGUUUUGGUUCGGUGAUGGAAGAGCACGAAUUUGGGGAUCUUCAAGGAAUGCUUUUUAUGUGUAAAAGCUUAAAAGAAGAGAAGAGGAUAAGAGGAAGAAGAGGGAAAAUCCAUCGACGAAAAGAAGAGGAAGAGGAAGAGGAAAUGAAAACCCCACCGUCAAUUAGGGAAAGAGUUAAUUAAUUGAUGGAAGAAGAAGUGUCGAUCAAUUGCAGAACCAAUUUCGUUUACAGGAAACCAAUUUGUUGACUCGAUUCUAAAUUCUCAUGAGAUUGGAGAAAUCAACCGAUUUAAC
rnacentral:lncRNA from 1 species